rnacentral:rRNA from 1 species
UAGGGAAUCUUCCACAAUGGACGCAAGUCUGAUGGAGCAACGCCGCGUGAGUGAAGAAGGGUUUCGGCUCGUAGAACUCUGUUGUUAAAGAAGAACAUAUCUGAGAGUAACUGUUCAGGUAUUGACGGUAUUUAACCAGAAAGCCACGGCUAACUACGUCCCAG